rnacentral:rRNA from 1 species
GACGAACGCUGGCGGCGUGCUUUACACAUGCAAGUCGAACGGGAAGGUCUGGUUCUUGUGGCGGGCGCGAGUGGCGAACGGGUGAGUAACACGUGGGUAACCUGCCAUUGGCUUUGAGCUAACUUCAGGAAACUGGGGCUAGUACCGCGUAAGAGGUACUGCUGCAAGGGGGGGGCUGGCAAGUGUCGGCGGUUGGGGAUGGGCAGGAGGCUUAUGAGGUGGUGGGUGGGGUAGUGACUGACCAAGGCUUUGACGAGUAGCCGGCCUGAGGGGGUGACGGGCAACAACGGGAGUGAGGUGACGCCGAGACUCCUACGGGAGGCAGCAGUGGUGGAGAAUGCACCAUGGGCGGAAGCCGGAUGCAGCAACGCCGCGUGGUGGAGGACGGCGUCCGGCUUGUAAUCAACUUCCGCCCGUGAAGAAGAGAGAGUGACGGUAAUUGGUAAAGAAGCACCGGCUAACUACGUG